GCGGGCGGAAGGCAUCACUUUGUCCGGACUCUAAUUCAAAUUGUAUUCAUCCGAUCUUCACCAAACUUGGUCAGCAGUUGCAUCUAGUUGAUAUCUAGGCCAAGUUCGAAUAUGGGUCAUGCCGGGUCAAAAACUAGGUCAUAGGGUCAAUAAGUGCAUUUUCAAAGGGGCCACUUUGUCCGGACUCUAUUUCAAAUUGUAUUCAUCCGAUCUUCACCAAACUUGGUCAGCAGUUGCAUCUAGUUGAUAUAUAGGCCAAGUUCGAAUAUGGGUCAUGCCGGGUCAAAAACUAGGUCAUAGGGUCAAUAAGUGCAUUUUCAAAGGGGCCACUUUGUCCGGACUCUAUUUCAAAUUGUAUUCAUCCGAUCUUCACCAAACUUGGUCAGCAGUUGCAUCUAGUUGAUAUAUAGGCCAAGUUCGAAUAUGGGUCAUGCCGGGUCAAAAACUAGGUCAUAGGGUCAAUAAGUGCAUUUUCAAAGGGGCCACUUUGUCCGGACUCUAUUUCAAAUUGUAUUCAUCCGAUCUUCACCAAACUUGGUCAGCAGUUGCAUCUAGUUGAUAUAUAGGCCAAGUUCGAAUAUGGGUCAUGCCGGGUCAAAAACUAGGUCAUAGGGUCAAUUAGUGCAUUUUCAACGGCGCCACUUUGUCCGGACUCUAAUUCAAAUUGUAUUCAUCCGAUCUUCACCAAAUUUGGUCAGAAGUUGUGUCUAGAUGAUAUGUAGGUCAAGUUCAAAUAUGGGUCAUGCCGGGUCAAAAACUAGGUCAC